rnacentral:rRNA from 1 species
UACGUAGGUGGCAAGCGUUAUCCGGAAUUAUUGGGCGUAAAGAGCGCGCAGGUGGUUAAUUAAGUCUGAUGUGAAAGCCCACGGCUUAACCGUGGAGGGUCAUUGGAAACUGGUUGACUUGAGUGCAGAAGAGGGAAGUGGAAUUCCAUGUGUAGCGGUGAAAUGCGUAGAGAUAUGGAGGAACACCAGUGGCGAAGGCGGCUCUCUGGACUGUAACUGACACUGAGGCACGAAAGCGUGGGGAGCAAACAGG